AUACGGUCAUAUCACGUUGAGACACCGGUUGUUGUCCGAUCACCGAAGUUAAGCAACGUCGAUCUUGGUUAGAACCGAGUUGAGUGACUGCUGGGGAAUACCAGGUGAUGG